GAUGAACGCUGACAGAAUGCUUAACACAUGCAAGUCAACUUGAACUUCGGUUUGGGUGGCGGACGGGUGAGUAACGCGUAAAGAACUUGCCUCACAGUUAGGGACAACAUUUGGAAACGAAUGCUAAUACCUGAUAUUAUGAUUUUAGGGCAUCCUAGAAUUAUGAAAGCUAUAUGCGCUGUGAGAGAGCUUUGCGUCCCAUUAGCUAGUUGGAGAGGUAACGGCUCACCAAGGCGAUGAUGGGUAGCCGGCCUGAGAGGGUGAACGGCCACAAGGGGACUGAGACACGGCCCUUACUCCUACGGGAGGCAGCAGUGGGGAAUAUUGGACAAUGGACCAAGAGUCUGAUCCAGCAAUUCUGUGUGCACGAUGAAGUUUUUCGGAAUGUAAAGUGCUUUCAGUUGGGAAGAAAAAAAUGACGGUACCAACAGAAGAAGUGACGGCUAAAUACGUGCCAGCAGCCGCGGUAAUACGUAUGUCACAAGCGUUAUCCGGAUUUAUUGGGCGUAAAGCGCGUCUAGGUGGUUAUAUAAGUCUGAUGUGAAAAUGCAGGGCUCAACUCUGUAUUGCGUUGGAAACUGUGUAACUAGAGUACUGGAGAGGUAAGCGGAACUACAAGUGUAGAGGUGAAAUUCGUAGAUAUUUGUAGGAAUGCCGAUGGGGGAAGCCAGCUUACUGGACAAAUACUGACGCUGAACGCGAAAGCGUGGUAGCAACAGGAUAGAUCCCCUGGUAGUCAAGGGCGAAUUCCACAUGAAUAUCAAGCUUACCGAUACCGGCGACCCCAGGGGGGGCCGGUCCCACUUUGUUCCC
rnacentral:rRNA from 1 species